rnacentral:rRNA from 1 species
AGAGUUUGAUCAUGGCUCAGGACGAACGCUGGAGGCGUGCUUAACACAUGCAAGUCGAACGAUGAAGUGGAGCUUGCUCCACGGAUUAGUGGCGAACSGGUGAGUAACACGUGAAUAACCUGCCCUCAAUUUCGGAAUAACCCAGGGAAACCUGGGCUAAUACCGGAUAAGUAAACCUGUGGCAUCACAUGGUUUUGGAAAGUUUUUCGAUUGAGGAUGGAUUCGCGGCCUAUCAGCUUGUUGGUGAGGUAAUGGCUCACCAAGGCGACGACGGGUAGCCGGCCUGAGAGGGUGGACGGCCACACUGGGACUGAGACACGGCCCAGACUCCUACGGGAGGCAGCAGUGGGGAAUAUUGCGCAAUGGACGAAAGUCUGACGCAGCGACGCCUCGUGAGGGACGAAGGUCU